GGGCGCCUUUUUAAAAAAAAAAAGGACGUGGGCAACCUGCCUGUAAGACUGGGAUCCACUUUUAAAAAAAACCGAAGCUAAUACCGGAUAGGAUCUUCUCCUUCAUGGGAGAUGAUUGAAAGAUGGUUUCGGCUAUCACUUACAAAUGGGCCCGCGGUGCAUUAGCUAGUUGGUGAGGUAACGGCUCACCAAGGUAACGAUGCAUAGCCGACCUGAGAGGGUGAUCGGCCACACUGGGACUGAGACACGGCCCAGACUCCUACGGGAGGCAGCAGUAGGGAAUCUUCCGCAAUGGACGAAAGUCUGACGGAGCUACGCCGCGUGAGUGAUGAUGCUCUCGGUUCGUAAAACUCUGUUGUAGGGAA
rnacentral:rRNA from 1 species